GUUGGGGAUCGCUGCUUCUCCUUUGAGUCUGGGACGACCCCAGUGCACUGGAACAAUAAAUCCCUCUUGCUUUUUUGCAUCCAAAAAAAAAACAACAACAACAAAAAAAAACAAUAGAUCCCAACAUUCUAAUGUUAAGCGUUACAAAAUCAGGCUGCAAGAAUUCUAUUUACUAUGAUUUAAUAUCUCCAAGGAAAAGUGCUACUGCACACAAGCAUUGCAGGAUGGAACAGAGCCGAUUUUUGUGGUCCUCCUGCCUUGACAGAAGGAUCAUGGUCAAGCUGUGAUUGUCAGCUCUUGUAGCCCAACUGCCUCUCCAAGAUGACUGAUUCAACCUGGCUUCUCUCGACUUCUCACCAAAUUGCUCUGCUUGGCUUCAAACUACCUCUGGCAAUUUGUUCUAAUCUUCUGGAUCCUUAUUCUCUGGCUUCAACUUGCUCUGUUGACCUGCACUGAACUUCAUGACCACAACUCCACUGCGCUGACUCACUGAAUUCAACUCAGAUGCCUCAACUGACUGAACUCAGCUCAACUCUACUCCACUCACUCGACUGCCCUCCAAUUAGACAUAACUUUCAAGCAAGGCAGCUGCCUUCUACAAGCUAAACUUUCCUUCAUUGUUUGAGAUUGAAGAAGAAAUUCAGAGGCAGAGUUUUGUUGCUUGCUGUCGAACUGAGGCAACAGGAAGAGAGACUGUGACCCACUGCCCUGCUUGAGCAUCUGAGACCUCAAAGGCCAUCCCUAGUGACAAACUCCCACAUCUAACAGUGCCGCUUGGUAUGAGCCUGGAGCAGGGGGAUCAUUUUCUUUCAAAUGGCUGCAAGGAGCCUCUGCUUCUCAAUUAUGCAAAGAAAAUUAUGUGCUAUCCAUUUCUCAUUCACACACUAAAGAAAUGUAUUUGUCUCUAUAUUUGCAUUUGUUACCAUGGUUCCUAAUGAAACUCACCUCCUGAUAUUUAGACUUCUGUUUUAAAUCUUCCCUCUCCCCACUUCAAGUCUCCAAGACCUAGGAAUGUGAUUCUAAGGAGUAAAAUACUAGAAAAAUAAUGUAGCAUCAUUGCCUUGUAAAAUUGACGGCUUCUAUUUUGGUG
rnacentral:lncRNA from 1 species